CAGCCGCCACGGGAAUACAGAGGGUGCAAGCGUUGUUCGGAAUUAUUGGGCGUAAAGCGCGUGUAGGCGGCGUGACAAGUCGGGUGUGAAAGCCCUCAGCUCAACUGAGGAAGUGCGCCCGAAACUGUCGUGCUUGAGUGCCGGAGAGGGUGGCGGAAUUCCCCAAGUAGAGGUGAAAUUCGUAGAUAUGGGGAGGAACACCGGUGGCGAAGGCGGCCACCUGGACGGUAACUGACGCUGAGACGCGAAAGCGUGGGGAGCAAACAGGAUUAGAUACCCGAGUAGUCCCUGUCUCUUAUAA
rnacentral:rRNA from 1 species